rnacentral:lncRNA from 1 species
AAGAUGCCCCAGAUAGGCUAUCUUGAAAGAAGUACAUCCACAUCUUCUCGUCAUCUGUAUAUGCCGAGAUCUUCCGAUAAUAAGCCUGCACGUGGGUGCGAGGGCAAGAAGUACCGUUGUACUUGUCAAAGGUGGGCGCUUUGAAUUUGUGGGGAAUCCUCAGACCUUCCACUAACCCCAUAUUCGUGACAUCGAACCCCAGAGAGUUCUGGCAUUCCAUCGCCCUUAUCUUUUCAGCCAGGGCAUCGACCUUACGAUCCCUAUCUUCAUUUCUAGCAACAUCACCAUCGUCCUCUCCCAUCAUUGUGAACAUGUCCUCUUGUCUAUCAACAAAAGGAGCUGGAUGACGCGCCGGAGCCCUGGUAGCUCUGGCAUUAACCUCUGCAGCAAGAGG